UAGGGAAUCUUGCGCAAUGGGCGAAAGCCUGACGCAGCAAUGCCGCGUGGGGGAUGAAGGCCUUCGGGUUGUAAACUCCUUUUAGUGGGAACGAAAAUGACGGUACCCACAGAAAAAGCCCCGGCUAACUACGUGCCAGCAGCCGCGGUGAUACGUAGGGGGCAAGCGUUGUCCGGAUUCACUGGGCGUAAAGAGCUCGUAGGUGGUUUGGUAAGUCGGGUGUGAAACCUCCAGGCUCAACCUGGAGUCGCCACUCGAUACUGCCAUGGCUAGAGUCCGGUAGGGGAGCAUGGAAUUCCUGGUGUAGCGGUGAAAUGCGCAGAUAUCAGGAGGAACACCAGUAGCGAAGGCGGUGCUCUGGGCCGGUACUGACACUGAGGAGCGAAAGCGUGGGGAGCGAACAGGAUUAGAUACCCCCGUAGUCC
rnacentral:rRNA from 1 species